rnacentral:rRNA from 1 species
CCUACGGGAGGCAGCAGUGGGGAAUAUUGCACAAUGGGGGAAACCCUGAUGCAGCAACGCCGCGUGAAGGAAGACGGUUUUCGGAUUGUAAACUUCUAUCAAUAGGGAAGAAAGAAUUGACGGUACCUGAAGCAGAAGCCCCGGCUAACUACGUGCCAGCAGCCGCGGUAAUACGUAGGGGGCAAGCGUUAUCCGGAUUUACUGGGUGUAAAGGGGGCGCAGACGGCGAGGCAAGCCAGGAGUGAAAGCCCGGGGCCCAACCCCGGGACUGCUCUUGGUACUGGGUGGCUGGAGUGCAGGAGGGGCAGGCGGAAUUCCUGGUGUAGCGGUGAAAUGCGUAGAGAUCAGGAGGAACACCGGUGGCGAAGGCGGCCUGCUGGACUGCAACUGACGUUGAGGCGCGAAAGCGUGGGGAGCAAACAGGAUUAGAUACCCGUGUAGUC